GCUGGGUGUGUCUGCACCCACACCAGCUCCCACUCCUGAUGCUACUUCUCCGCCGUCUGUUCACAGCACUCCAUCCUCACCUCCCAACAUCCUUUGCUCCAGCCAGAUUGACAAACUCACUCUCCACCCCAUGUUGACAAACACAGUACGAUGCAAAAGUCUUAGGCACCCUUUGCAUAGGUUAUAAGUGUCUAUAUGGAGCACCAGGAUUCCGAUUUGUCAGAGUUGCUGGGGCAGUGUGGCUCGAAGUGCCUACUCCAUGCUGUAUUGUUAAAUAAAUAAAAUAGGAAUUCUGCAGAUGCUGGAAAUUCAAGCAACACACAUCAAAGUUGCUGGUGAACGCAGCAGGCCAAGCAGCAUCUAUAGGAAGAGGCGCAGUCGACGUUUCGGGCCGAGACCCUUCGUCAGGACUAACUGAAGGAAGAGACAUAGAAGAGACAACUUAGAUUCAGCAAAGCUGGUGGGUCUGGGGUCACACGCAGGCCGGAGCAGGGUGGAUGAGUUCUGUCAGUGCCCGUGACUUGCAGCCGCGUGUCUUGAUAGCCCCAGGACACGGCCUGGAAGGUGAGCACGCCUUCGGGUUUCCGAGGCCUGCAGACCUGUGGAUGAGGCAUUUCUAUGCCGGUGGUGCCAACUGAAGCAUCACAGGAGAAAACGGAAUGCUGGGAGCAGCAGAUCAUCUGUUGGAGCUCUCUACACUCAGCAAACCACUCUCUCUCUCUCUCUCUCUCAAAACACACAUCAAAGUUGCUGGUGAAUGCAGCAGGCCAGGCAGCAUCUCUAGGAAGAGGUACAGUCGACGUUUCAGGCCGAGACUCUUCGUCAGGACUAACUGAAGAAAGAGCUAGUUCUUUUGAAGACCCUGACCUGGAGUUACACUCUGACUUUGUUUCUUUUUGGAAAUGGGACCCCCUUUCAGGGCCUCAGAACUGACCGCUUUUCGAUAUGCCAAGGACGUGGCCUGGAAGACUAAUGCGCCUUCAAGGUGCCGGAUUUUCGUGGCCCUGGAAACGGGCUGAUCCAAAGCUGGUGCCACCGACUGAUGUGUUGUGGGAGUACACGGAAGUUCUGAAGCAGCAAGCUGGCUGCUGGCUAUGUGCCCAGAGGCCUGAGUUCUUUGGGCACAGAGCUUGAAAAAAGCGACACAACAGACUUUUAGCAGCAUAAAUCAGCGAGUUGUUUUGUUAUGUCUCCCCUCUCGCUGUGAAACAGGGACACCUUUUUUUCCCUUAUUAGAGAGUGAAAGAGGUUGUGGUAUGUCAAAUUACCAGGUGAAUGAAUAGUCUUUGGGGUACUGCAAGUUUUUGUCUUUAUUGAUGCUUUGCUGCACACUUGAGUGCCUGGUGGGGGGGCGCCGAUGAUUUUCUGCUAGUGGGGGAGGGGUGGUAGUUGCUUUGCUGCUGUUUAUGCAUGGGAGGGGGGAGUUCGGGGGGGGCUUUGGGGUUCUAACAUUUAACUGUCAGUCAUUCUUUGGGGCACUCCUCUGUUUUCAUGGAUAUUUGUGAAGAAAAAGAAUUUCAGAAUGUAUAUUGUAUACAUUUCUUUGACAUUAAAUGUACCUAUUGAAAAUAGCAUCAUUUCUAAGUAGUGUUGUUACUGUACCUUACAUAUAAAACUUAAGAUAUGUAAAUGCAAAAUUAUAAGAUUUCGUGCACAUUCAUAGAAGUUCAAGGAAAGGAAAAUAAACACACUUUAAUCUCAGUAAGACUAUUGUUAUUGAACCAAUGAUGACAAAUAUUUUAUAUCCAAAAAAGAUUUUAUAUUUGAUAUCAGAUGGGUAGGUAUUCCCACCC